UUUCGGGGAAUCCGAUUAAAAGGGAAUCAGGUGCAAAUCCUGAACAGUCCCGCUGCUGUAAGUUUCACACAACGUUGUAAGCAGAAACUCAAUGCCACUGAAUUUAAUUCGGGAAGGCGCUUACAAACGGAAAUAAGUCAGAAGACCUGCCGGUACUUAU
rnacentral:ncRNA from 1 species